AUUGAACGCUGGCGGCAGGCCUAACACAUGCAAGUCGAACGGUAACAGGAAGCAGCUUGCUGCUUUGCUGACGAGUGGCGGACGGGUGAGUAAUGUCUGGGAAACUGCCCGAUGGGGGGGGAUAACUACUGGAAACGGUAGCUAAUACCGCAUAACGUCGCAAGACCAAAGAGGGGGACCUUAGGGCCUCUUGCCAUCGGAUGUGCCCAGAUGGGAUUAGCUAGUAGGUGGGGUAACGGCUCACCUAGGCGACGAUCCCUAGCUGGUCUGAGAGGAUGACCAGCCACACUGGAACUGAGACACGGUCCAGACUCCUACGGGAGGCAGCAGUGGGGAAUAUUGCACAACGGGCGCAAGCCUGAUGCAGCCAUGCCGCGUGUAUGAAGAAGGCCUUCGGGUUGUAAAGUACUUUCAGCGGGGAGGAAGGGAGUAAAGUUAAUACCUUUGCUCAUUGACGUUACCCGCAGAAGAAGCACCGGCUAACUCCGUG
rnacentral:rRNA from 1 species